UAGCAGAGUUACAGAAUAUGAGGUUUGGGGUAUUUCAUCCUGCUGUUUUCAGUGCAAGCUGGGUUCUGUGUAGAGCUGAUCCACAAAGGGUUUUUUUUUCUGGAGACCAAAAUCUUUUUGCUAAAAUCUUAAUAUUUUGACUCAGAAAUACCACGGAUGUGCCUCUGAUACCACACACCACCAAUCUCUUCCAUGGGCCAGUCUCCCAGGCUGGACUACAUCCCCCAUUAUGCAUGAUGGUCUCUCCUCUUGCUGAAAUUCUCUGGAAGAUCACCAGAGUCCCACAGCCAUGGUUUAGGGAGGAGGGGAGUUUGGUAUUUUGAUGGAAAGCUUAUAAUUUCCAGGGAAAAGAUAAUUUCUUGGAAAAAAUAGUUAAAUGGAAAAU